UCUGUAACCAGGCUGGGACUACAGGCACACAACACUCAUGUGCUCACUUUCUAUGUGGGUCACUUGUUACCUUCCUGAUGAGCUGAGAGUUUCUUGUAUAUUCUAGAUAUACAAUUACGUUCAGUCUGUGCAUAUUUGUGUCAUCAAAGUUUUGUUGGAACAUGGUCAUAUCCAUGUAUGUAUUUAUCACGUGUCACGGUUUUCACACUGCAAUCGCACAGCUGAAGCAGAGACCACACGGCCCCUGAAGCCCAUGGUAUUUACUCUCUGGGCCUUUUCAGAAAAUGCCCUGAUUCCUGCUCUGAAGUAGAAACUGGAAAGAUGAAAUUCAGACCUGCUGAAGUCAGGUUCUUCUGAGAGAUGCAGAGAAAGCCAGUCCAUGGGAGAAAACCAUUCAGACUUGCUGAGGAAGAGUUGAAGAAGCCAAGGUUUCAUGUCUGCCCCAGACCCUAGACAGGAUCCAUUUCCUACACCCCUGCACCUCUACUGAACCAGCAUAUUCAACUUUUGCUGAAGCAAAUUCAAACCACGCUUCAUAACAGUCACAGGCCUCAUGAGUAAAGCAUUUUUUUUCUUAAUGUUUUGCUUGCUUUGAGGCUGGCUCUCCUGUAGCCCACUGGCCUUGAAUUUGCUUAUGCGUGUAGUGUAGCUAAGGCUGGCCUUCAACUCCUGAUCCUUCUGCCUCUGUUCCACAGUGGUAGGACUACAGGGUGUACCACCCUGCCUGCCUCUUUUAGCUUUUGUAAGGUGGGUGCUGUCCUGUACAUGGUUUAGGUGAGCCUUGGGAGGUGUAGAACCUAAGAGGCUGGGCCUCCAGGGGGCAGUUAAAUCACAGAGGGUGCUGCGCAUGCACAAAAAUUGCUGUAGUUUUCCUGAGACCCUGGUUAGCUAUCACAAUGAAGUUGUGGUUACAGGGCAUGGUGCUUUGAAUGAGACUGUCCCUCAUAGGCUCGGAUGUCUGAAUGCGGUUACAGGGUGUGGUGCUUUGAAUGAGACUGUCCCUCAUAGGCUCAGAUGUCUGAAUGCUUGGUCCCUUGUCCGCAGCACUGUUUGGGUAGACGUAGGAGGUGUGGCCUUGCUGAGGAAGUGUGUCACACGGGGCACGUUUUGAGGUUUAAAAGCCACAUGCCCAUUCUCAGUGUUCUGCUCUGAGCCCUCAGCUCCUGCUCCAGGCACCUGGCUGCUGCCUCUGCUCUGCCACCAUGGACUCGCACCCUCUGGAACCGUAAGCCCACGGAAGCUCUUCCGGAAGUUGCCUUGGUCACGGUGUUCUAUCCCAGCAACAGAAAAGUGACUGCUCCACAGAGCAGAUGUCGUCCCUGGCCAGCCUCACCGUACCAUGUCAUCUCUCCGAGCUCUGCCUACAGUGGUGAAACCCUAGCCAGAUGCCCCUGGUGAGGGCACCCGCAGCAUUUUGUUCACACGGUCAGCCUCCAAGACUGAACUGUAGGAACCUCUUCUUGUCCCUUUUCUCAGUUGGAGUACUGGGAUCCAACCCAGGUACACGCUGAGCAAACACCACCACUGCAUUCUCUCAGACCAAGCUCUCUUCACGUCCCACAGAAGGAACAGGCUUGUGUUUCUACCACUAAAGGAACUCUGGCUAGGGCAGAGUGGUGAGAGUCAGAAGGAGGCUUGCCAUUGGGCAGAGACGGAGUAAAGAAAAAUGAGAAGAAAACCGCGGACCAGCCUCUAACAGUCAUUUCAGGAUUUUCAAAAGCCCUCUAGCCGGGCAUACACCUAUAGUGCCAGCACUUGGAAAACGAAGGCAGGAGGAUCUCAGGAGUCCAAGGGCAGGCAGCCUUGGCUACAGGAAACCAUCUCAAACAAACACACACACCAGAACAGCAUCAACAAAAAUCCCCCUCUGGAGACUCAUCGGAACAGAUCACCAAUGCUCCACACAAGAGCCAAGCGAUCACUCCAUUUUAGAACAGAGUGAGAGAGGAGAAGGAGAAUCUCAUCAUGGGGCUUCGGAGGAAGGCAAGUCUGAGUGUUGGGGCAAGGAGGUGUCGGAAAAGAAAAGGGCUCAGCAGAAGGAAAGAAAGCUGGAGCAAAAUCAAGGUACCCACAACAAACAGCCCAACUGCGGCUCUCAGGCCCGGCUGUGCCAACAGAACAUCAAUCAAACUGUCCAUAAAUAAAAAUGAAGCAAUCC